rnacentral:rRNA from 1 species
UACGAAGGUGGCAAGCGUUACUCGGAAUUACUAGGCGUAAAGGGCAGGUAGGUGGUUUGAUAAGUCUGUUGUGAAAGCUCCCGGCUUAACUGGGAGAGGUCAACAGAAACUAUCAGGCUUGAGUAUGGGAGAGGAUGCUGGAAUUCCCGGUGUAGCGGUGAAAUGCGCAGAUAUCGGGAGGAACACCAAUGGCGAAAGCAGGCAUCUGGACCAUUACUGACACUCAGCUGCGAAAGCUAGGGGAGCAAACAGG